UCUGAAAAAGAAAAGAAAAUAACAUGAGGGUCUGUCUCACUAACCAGAAAGCUACACUAAGUCUGCAGUAGCUGAGAACACUCUUGGAGCCUUGCUUGGGACCUUCUGUAUUACAAAAAGCUUUAGAAACCUGCAAACAUCCCCUUUUCUCUUUAAGCUUUGUCUUCUCACUCACCCUCACAACAGCAUUUGCUGACUUGUUAUUCUGAACCUUGGGACUUAAAACACUUAUUUUGAAGUCUCUGACAAGAGGAAAUAACUCUGCUUUUAAAAAGUAUCAACACUUACUGAGAAAUAUCAGCCAAGGAAGCUCACAAGAGCAGCAGGCCGAAAUAUGAGCAAGUCACAGCAUCGCAGCACCUAUUUGAGACUCUCCCAGAGUCUUCUUUGAAAGCCUGGCAGGGUAAGUAAAAAAUAUUGCACUUGGAUUCUCAGCUCCUCUUUUCCAAACACCUUCUCCUAGUGCGGGCAGCUACACUUUUCUUGCUUUCAUCCCCUGCAGAGAAGGGUCAUGCCAGAACCUGAGGACAGCUAGGACCAGAAGCACUACCUGCAAUUGCACUGUCUACAUCAUGCGGGGCGGCUCUGUGAUGGGAACCUUCUUUACUACUGCCAGCUUUAACCACAUUAAUGACAGCUGAAGUUUAAGCACUGGAAAAAUCACACUCCUCUCACAGACAUAUUUUAAAUCUACUAAGAGCUAUGUUCCAAGUUGAGCUGGCAUAGCUCCCAGCCGUCCUGCCCCUUCACAUUUAAUCCCUUGGUUUUGGCAUUUGCAGAGGGAUUAAUGCCAGGGUGUCAAGACAGAAGGAGUCUUUUUCACAUAAGAAAUUUGUAUUGUAAGUCAGUGCAGAGAAAAUGGUAUAGAUGUAAGUAGCUAAGCCUUACUUUAAUAAACUCACUGAUAACCAGUCUUCUCCUAGAGCUCCUGUUCUCUUUGCUCUACUUUGUGAGAAACUUGGAGCACCUUUCUGAGUUACCUUUACUGCCCAGACAUACAAAUAUUACCUUGAGCUGUCCACAUUACAAUUACAGGAUGGAUAACACUUUAGCUGUGUUCCUCAUCUUUUUAUUAGUCUUCCUUGUUAGUCCCAGCUUCUGCUGUAACAAGGGACUAGUGAAUUUAACAGCUUUCUCAUCUCAUCCUCCAACUGUUGCUUGGAAAGUGCCCAUUACUGAAGUUUAAUCAAUCACAGAUAUUUAUACUUUUUAAAAUAUAAUCCCAAUAACACUCUAAAUUCAAGCAAAAACCCUUUCAGAUCCACAAGUGAUGGCUUAUCCACCAAAAUUACGAUUCUUAUAACUUUAAUGGUAAUGUCUUUACCUUUAGAGAAAUGGGUUUAAGUAAACAUAACUGUUUUUGAAUAUAACAAUGCUCUGCUUUUGAAGAGCACAGAAAAUUAUGCUUAAUAAUGCUUUCUUUCCCUUUCUCUCUAGGCUCUGCUAUGUAAUGUGCAAAAAAUAUAUAAUGUUCAAAAAUGCAGACUCAAAUUAUUCUUCUGGUUCCCCUGAUUAACUUUGAAUUUAAAGCUAAUCCCCUGCAGUGUCUUGUCUUCAAGAGAAUCUGGACUGCAAAGGGAGACAAGUGUAAAGGCAGGUAAGCACAAUUUUGUGGCAGUAGGAAGAAAAGGGAAGUAGUAGUGUUAGUUCUAGUAAAGUGGGAAGUAAAAAUAUAGCAACAGACAGCAAUGCAUGCAAAUAUCUUUGUUUUGCCUUUGUUCAGUCAUCUAUGUUCAUGCAUUGUUCAUACAAAUACAAAAAAUGGAUCAUGGUUUUCUGUAGCACUACACAUUAUACAACUGAACCCAUAUGACAAACUAUUUCUCUUUUUGACCCAACUAAUACACCUGCAAGUUAAGUGAGUUAGCUUCCAGCAAGCAAAGUGAUGGGGGGAAAGAAAGAAGCUAGGAGACGCUUAAAAGCAAGAACUCCUCUUCACUAGUGAAAUGAACCUGCCGAAUGAGUGUUUUAGUAAGGGGAAUAGCAUACAAACCAUAUUACAGCAAAGAUUCAGACAAUUACAGUGUAGAGGAGAAGCUAGGUUUGUCAUACUAGGACUAGCAAAACCAGACAGUAUUCACUGAAUUAAAUCUUGUCAUUCAAAAUGCAGUUCUCCAUGUGCUAACAGUGAGACUCUUUCCACUCAUUGCCAGUUAUGGACCCUGUACCACUGACGAAGAUACUGACAUCAGUUACUCUCAAAGGGAGAUGGAACAGCUUGGGGAGGACCUGGACAGGCUCUCUGUCUCUGUUUUUACUGUACGUCAGACAGUGUGUGAGAGCAUUUUUCAAAAGGAAUUAAGAUAGAUCUGAUCUCUACAUACCUAAAUGUUACAAUGAAUGUUAACUUUGGAGUGAGGAUAUUUUACAAAGCAUUUUGUGAAAUGAUAUAGCUCUCAUUCCACUGUAGGAAGUUUAGUAUUUUCCAUCAUCUUUAAAUUAAAAACUAUUUUCAUCCUGUAACUAGUGUGUGCACACUUCAGGCAAUAGUUCCUCUUUCCCCUUUGACUGGAACACAAUGAGACAGUAGCCAAAUAGAAAAGAGCAAAAGCAAACUUAGCCAGUUAGUCUUGCACUACCAAAGUCAUUCACUUUAAAACUCGACAUGGAAAAAGGUGGUCCAAAAGGGGAAAAAUAUUCCUAGUGCAAACAGCUACAGUAUAAAGACUUUUGAGGAAUGUAUUUCUCAACAAAGGCAACAGCAGUAAAAUCACAAGGGUCUGACUGGUAAGACACAGUAGAACAAUGUCCAAACAGCACUGCAUUGCUAACUCUCAAUACCACUUAAGUGUUUUGAAGAAGACAGGUGUAAGGGAACUAUUAUGUCACAGCCGGAGCUGAUGACUGAGCACCUGUGAAGAGGGUGGCUGGCCCACAGGGCACAGGUGAAAGCAAUUUACCUGUGCUUCCUGUGUGCACCCCUCUCCUCCCCUGGGCUCAUUUAAGGGCUAGCCUCCAAAGAGAGAACAUCUCUUGGAUGGGGGCUGCUUUCUGAGAAGGACUGUUUUACAGCCAAAGACUUUCUUCACCACUUGGCUGGCAGAGAAACAAGGUGAUGGGAGCAAGAAUGGGACAAAGUUACAGACCGCUGGGGACACAUUUCUGGUGACAAGUCACUGUAUGAGGCUGAGCAACUCCUCCCUAAGCUGUAGUCUUCAACAGCAAAUAAUUUACAUAUGCUAGCAAAAGGCCAAUAUCUUCCUGUAGCUUUGUGCUGACAAUCCCUGUGCUGUUCCUACUUAUAUCUUUCUCUGGGUAAUUUCAUCAAACUUCUUCUCCCAUCUCUGAUCUACUGGAAACUCAGGUUCUCUACUGAAAAGUUUGUAACUUAAUUAUCUGUAGGUGCUUACCAGAAACAAGCAAUAGCUUACUUAAUAAUAUUCUUGCACACUUGACAUUGGAUGAGCUCUAGAUCAGAAUAGAAAGGAAGGACACCAAACUUUUACUUAACCAUUUCCUGUCUGGUAAGCGUAUCAUCAAGCACAAUCACAGGAAAGCAGGAGACACAUAACCAGUACCACUCCUGGCCACAAAAAGAAUGUGAAGAGUAAGAAGGAAGCAGUAACCUAACUCUUGCAAGCACUUGUUUGAAGUUAGAACCUGUCAUUCUUCUCCUUCAUCACCUACUUGUUUUGCAUGCACCCAGGAAGUUUGCAGGCAUGGUGGUAGUUUUUCCUUCCAAUUAAGUUUAUGAGCUGAAUGUGGCAAGCAAGAUAAUGAUAUGUUGCUGUAAGCAGAACCCAGAGCCUCAAAUGGGAUCAAAAAGCUCUGCAACA